GGUCGCUUAGCUCAGUUGGUUAGAGCGUGGUGCUAAUAAGCCUUCCCUGAUACGCCAAGGUCGCGAGUUCGACCCUCGUAGUGACCA